CCUACGGGGGGCAGCAGUGGGGAAUAUUGCACAAUGGGGGAAACCCUGAUGCAGCGACGCCGCGUGAGUGAAGAAGUAUUUCGGUAUGUAAAGCUCUAUCAGCAGGGAAGAAAAAAGAGUUAAAACUCUUAGACGGUACCUGAGUAAGAAGCCCCGGCUAACUACGUGCCAGCAGCCGCGGUAAUACGUAGGGGGCAAGCGUUAUCCGGAUUUACUGGGUGUAAAGGGAGCGUAGACGGCCAGGCAAGUCUGAAGUGAAAGCCCGGGGCUCAACCCCGGGACCGCUUUGGAAACUGUAUGGCUAGAGUGCGGGAGGGGUAGGCGGAAUUCCUAGUGUAGCGGUGAAAUGCGUAGAUAUUAGGAGGAACACCGGUGGCGAAGGCGGCCUACUGGACCGUAACUGACGUUGAGGCUCGAAGGCGUGGGGAGCAAACAGGAU
rnacentral:rRNA from 1 species